GUUUGGGAAGUGCCUGGGCUGGGCUCCGGGGCUGGAAGGCAGACGCACCAACUGGGGCCCGGGUAAGAGAAAUGUGCCAUGACAUUUCCGACAACCCAAUAUGUGCCUAGAAGCCAGACUGGGCAGACAGUCUCCCUCUAAUUCCCACUUUGGAAUCAAUAACCAACUCUGCUUCCCCUGAGGCUAAUGGGAACAUAGUGAUUUGGCUCCUUGCUGUCCAAGGUAAAAUCUACUUGAAACAACCUCAUCACCUCUCCUCCACCUAGGAAAGCUGGAUAAAUCAGAAGACAGCAGCUGCUUGGCUGGCGCUUGCCAUCAAUCUGAACUUUGUGCUCUGAACCAAGGAGAGAAAUGAGUUCCGGGGAAUGGGGGAGGGCAGGUUGGGGAUUUUGAAAUACUCUUCCACUCCUCUGGAACAAAGUUCCAAAACUACCUUUUUGCUUUUGAUAUCACAAAUUACUACACUAUGGUUCAAAGGGUGACCUUCGGCCGAUUAAGACCUGCAUGUGUAAAAUUACCAUUUUUGUGGAUGAAUUACAAUGCAGACCUCCAAGGGUACAGCGAGUCCUCCAAACACUUACUGAAUUACCCACGUGAUUACUGAGGAAGACGCUUCAGGAAAAUUUGGGAAAACUGUCUAUCUACAAACUCUUCUGGCAAAACAAUAACCAACCAUGAACUUAGUCUCUCCGAGACUAGAUCUGCUUUCAAGGAACCUUGGGGGUUUGAGUUCUGUGUUGGAAAAGGCUCUCAAGGACUAAGUUAGUCCACUGAGUGCUCUGGAAUCCUGCAUGCGUGGGAUCAGAGCAAAUCCCUGUGUGCUGUUGGGGGUGAAGACUCAGACCCUUCUGAGUGGCAAGCAAGGAAGUAGUUCAGGGCAUCCUGGCUUCUGAGCUCGGGAAACUCAGAUGCUCACUGACUUGGUCCACACACGUACACACACCUGAGAAACAAGUUUGUACGGACUCAAUCAUCUAGAACUGCUCUGUCCAAGUAUGAGCAUUUGAAACGUCCGAACUGAGACGGGCUCUAAGUGUAACAUGCACUUUAUAUUGUACAAAAUAUAAUCCAUCACUUUUCAUAUUAUAUGUUGAAAUAGAUAUUACUGGGUUCAAACAAAGAUGUCAUUAAAAUAAAAUUUCCAUUUCUUUUUAUUUUUAUUAUGUGGCUACUAAAAAUUUAAAAUUACAGGUGCUGGGUUCGCUGUGGGAGUCUCAGGGGAAGGCUCACUGAGGCGGCACCUGGAAGGCGGCUGCUGGCCACUCACGCUGGCUGCUGGCUACACACAGUAGCCCAUGGCAACCCACUGCAGCAGGGGC